rnacentral:rRNA from 1 species
AGAGUUUGAUCAUGGCUCAGAUUGAACGCUGGCGGCAGGCCUAACACAUGCAAGUCGAGCGGUAGCACAGAGAGCUUGCUCUCGGGUGACGAGCGGCGGACGGGUGAGUAAUGUCUGGGAAACUGCCUGAUGGAGGGGGAUAACUACUGGAAACGGUAGCUAAUACCGCAUAAUGUCGCAAGACCAAAGUGGGGGACCUUCGGGCCUCAUGCCAUCAGAUGUGCCCAGAUGGGAUUAGCUAGUAGGUGGGGUAACGGCUCACCUAGGCGACGAUCCCUAGCUGGUCUGAGAGGAUGACCAGCCACACUGGAACUGAGACACGGUCCAGACUCCUACGGGAGGCAGCAGUGGGGAAUAUUGCACAAUGGGCGCAAGCCUGAUGCAGCCAUGCCGCGUGUGUGAAGAAGGCCUUCGGGUUGUAAAGCACUUUCAGCGGGGAGGAAGGCGNCGAUUGACGUUACCCGCAGAAGAAGCACCGGCUAACUCCGUGCCAGCAGCCGCGGUAAUACGGAGGGUGCAAGCGUUAAUCGGAAUUACUGGGCGUAAAGCGCACGCAGGCGGUCUGUCAAGUCGGAUGUGAAAUCCCCGGGCUCAACCUGGGAACUGCAUUCGAAACUGGCAGGCUAGAGUCUUGUAGAGGGGGGUAGAAUUCCAGGUGUAGCGGUGAAAUGCGUAGAGAUCUGGAGGAAUACCGGUGGCGAAGGCGGCCCCCUGGACAAAGACUGACGCUCAGGUGCGAAAGCGUGGGGAGCAAACAGGAUUAGAUACCCUGGUAGUCCACGCCGUAAACGAUGUCGAUUUGGAGGUUGUGCCCUUGAGGCGUGGCUUCCGGAGCUAACGCGUUAAAUCGACCGCCUGGGGAGUACGGCCGCAAGGUUAAAACUCAAAUGAAUUGACGGGGGCCCGCACAAGCGGUGGAGCAUGUGGUUUAAUUCGAUGCAACGCGAAGAACCUUACCUGGUCUUGACAUCCACAGAACUUUCCAGAGAUGGAUUGGUGCCUUCGGGAACUGUGAGACAGGUGCUGCAUGGCUGUCGUCAGCUCGUGUUGUGAAAUGUUGGGUUAAGUCCCGCAACGAGCGCAACCCUUAUCCUUUGUUGCCAGCGGUCAGGCCGGGAACUCAAAGGAGACUGCCAGUGAUAAACUGGAGGAAGGUGGGGAUGACGUCAAGUCAUCAUGGCCCUUACGACCAGGGCUACACACGUGCUACAAUGGCAUAUACAAAGAGAAGCGACCUCGCGAGAGCAAGCGGACCUCAUAAAGUAUGUCGUAGUCCGGAUUGGAGUCUGCAACUCGACUCCAUGAAGUCGGAAUCGCUAGUAAUCGUAGAUCAGAAUGCUACGGUGAAUACGUUCCCGGGCCUUGUACACACCGCCCGUCACACCAUGGGAGUGGGUUGCAAAAGAAGUAGGUAGCUUAACCUUCGGGAGGGCGCUUACCACUUUGUGAUUCAUGACUGGGGUGAAGUCGUAACAAGGUAACCGUAGGGGAACCUGCGGUUGGAUCACCU